UUGCCUACGGGGGGCAGCAGUGAGGAAUAUUGGUCAAUGGGCGCAAGCCUGAACCAGCCAAGUCGCGUGAGGGAUGACGGUCCUAUGAAUUGUAAACCUCUUUUGUCGGGGAGCAAGGCCCGCCACGUGUGGCGGGAAGGAGAGUACCCGAAGAAAAAGCAUCGGCUAACUCCGUGCCAGCAGCCGCGGUAAUACGGAGGAUGCGGGCGUUAUCCGGAUUUAUUGGGUGUAAAGGGUGCGUAGACGGGAAAUUACGUUAGUUGUGAAAGCCAUCGGCUUAACUGAGGAACUGCAA
rnacentral:rRNA from 1 species